rnacentral:ncRNA from 1 species
AAAAAUGGAAACUGUGAAGUGUAUUCUGUAUGUGGGCACCUAGAAUAUAUGGAGUUAGUGGUGCAACCGGCUAUGAAU